AUAUUUUUAAGAAAUCAAACCGAACAGGCAACAGUAGAGCAAUCUUUGGCAUCCAUGCGUAUUACAACUAGCUAUCCUCUUUUAAGUUGUCCGACCUUACUUAAUGCGUGCAUUAACAAAAUGAAUGAACAAAACCGAUUUUGGCUUACUAGCUCUUCAGGAAUUAUGUUAAUCUCCUUUUCAGAACAAGGUAGGAAGGUCAGAAAGGAAUUUUUCAUAAUAGCAAAAUCUAGCAAACUCACAUCUAAGAAAUGACAACUUCUAACUUAAUUACAGUCUACUUUUUAUUCAGCGUGGAGAUACUUCUGAGUAAUGUGUACACAGAGCUAUUGAGCACGUAAGUAUUUUUAAGAGCCUAAAUUUUGCUAUUCCAAAUGUAAACUUAACUGAACAACUGCUUUGCUUGGGUAAAUUAAUAGUUUUGAUAAGAAGUCUGUAAUCAUUCUGCCCCUGUCCAACCACUGUUCACAACACACUUACUACUCACCCCACUGGCCUGUUUGUUUCUAGCGAAUACAUUUUCCAUGCUGUAGCUUUAAAUUCCAAAUAAUUUAAUAAUUAUUCCAAAUUCCAAAAUAAUUCCAUGAUUACAGCAACAUAUUAACUGGUUUUAAAAAUACAAAGUAAUGGAGAACAUCUGUACAGGUUAAUUUCUACAUCCUGAAAAGGUUCCUGGCCAAUUAGGACAGCAUAUGCAAAAAAAUCAGUUAUGCUAAAAUCAACAUGUAAGGCACUUCUGUUACUUUUCAAUAAAGCACAUUGCUGUCUGCAAGUGAAAAAUGUGACUGUUAAUUAUAGACAACAUUUUUUUUGAGUUACGUGACUCAAGUGUCUUUCAUGUCCACUAAAAUAUUGAUCAGACACAUCCUUACUUAGCCUACUCUGGGACUUAGCGAGGGGCAGGGCUUGACUGUUCUUAGGUCCAUAAGGUCACAGCCUCGAUACUAUAGCUGCUUAUUCUAUACCUCCAGUUGUGCAUUCCUUCUGCUCGUUAGCCUAAAGACUAAUCUGUAGCCUCUAUUCGUGAUCAGCGGGAACUGUUGUAUUUGCACAGCAGUUAUGCAUGUAAUAGCUUGUGCACUGAAGCCUGUUGGUCAUACGUAACAAAUCUAAGCGGAGUUUUGCCUGCAUUUGAAGUACAGGAUUAAACUUAAUGCAUUGUUUCACUGAUAGUACCACAGGGGGGUGCAAACUGCACACGCAGCCCUCACCACUGCCUCUCGGGUGACAAAGCAUGCUCAGGACAAGCAUUUAGGAGAGCAAAACUCAUUUCUGCCAGCGUCUAUGGUUUUCUCUAUAAUCAGGUGAUUGCAGCAGCCGCCUGAGAGUCAGGCUUGCUACUGUGCUAUAAAAGUGAGCUGGUUUCCAGUAAUGGGGAUGAUUUCAAAGAAGUAUGUAGUAUACUUCUUGUAAGAGGGAUUUGGCCAAGGACCAAGGCAUGACUUGCUUUGAGGAGGGAAAGGACUGUUUGUCGUAGGUGAGGCGCUGCAGAAGAUCAGGUGGAUACUAGGUGGAAGAUGGAAUAGCUGGAAAAUGGUGUAAGGUAACACACAACACCAUAUAUCAAGAUAACCCACCCCUAAACAGGAUCCGAUACCCUGAAGAAUGCCAGUGGGUUUUGCACUGUCAUUUCUCAAGGCAGAAGCAUUAGCAGAGGUCAGGUUUUAAACUCAGUCAAGCAAUCCAGCUGGCAAAAGCUGCUGAGAGGCUGAUAACGAAUUAUCAUCAGAUUGCAAAAAUUCCCCAACUUUAUGACACAUCGGAGAUUGCACUGGCCAGCUGAAUUCUAAUGAAAUGUCUUGUGUUUCCACAUCUUAUCUUUGAGAUUUUCCCCUGCAGUGAGUCCUUUCGUGUUGGUUUUUGGAAGCUGUUGGAAAGUACAGGUCAACAGUGACUGAAAUACAAAUAACUCAUAACUAAACUGAAAAUUCUAUUUCACUUACACUAAACUAUCUCAGAAUUCAUGGAAUACAUUUUCUUUUCUUUCAUUAUAUUCAUUGUGGGCAAUGGAUAAGUCUGAACAGAAGUGAAGGGUUUGAAUCAUGGUUUUAUCAAGUGUUUUUCAACAAAAUUCUUCCUAAUUUAGAAUAUCAGUUGAAUGCAACAGGCUAUUUUUGUACUUUAACAUCCCAGAUUGAAUGAUAUUAAAGUGGAUCAACUUUUAAAAUACAAUACCUUAAUAAAUUUAAGAUAAAAUCUAGGGCAACUGAAUGUUCCCAUUAGUAAAUCUUUACUACUUUAACCUGAUUAGAUGAUAAUGCAAUGAGGAAUACAAACCAUCCAACGUAUAUAAUCAGGCUAUGCAAGUCCCUGGGGACUGCAUGUUGUCAGAAAUGAUAAAAAUUCAAAACAGACACACAAAUUAAGUAUCACAUGCAUUUUGAGCCUCUGAUUGUAUUUAUACAAGGAAAUUCUGAUGCUUUCACAGGCUUUCAAAAGGAGAUGGGAUCUUCCCUGAAUGCUAGUAGGUCAAUCUCUACCAUUCCCACACUUGGAAAAUAACCUUACAGAGGCAACUUUCAUGAAAGAAAUAGGUUAUCUGAGCACAUGAAAUUCAAAUGGAUCAAGGGCUAGGUGCACGUAUGUACUUGGACAUUGUAAUACAGUUUUGUAACAUCAAACUAUGUUUACUGGAUAACCAUCUAAUUACACAUCUAAAACUGACAUGAUGCAAAACUGAGGUUUUGGUAGGAACUAAGUAGUCAGAAAAACCUGGUCACCCAGGAUGAUGCAGCAUCAGGGACACAAGACACCCCCAAACCUUCUCCUGAAAUUGGUCUUCAGUCAUCCUUUCAUAACAGCAGAGCACACUAGAUUCUUUCGAACUACAGAAGCAACAAAGCAGCUGUUUGCCUUUUCCUUAUUGUCUUAAGCUUGAAACCUAGGUUCAAACCCUCAUUUCCCAGUAGCUAGCCGAGUUGUGGGAUUGGUACAGAUUAAAGAAAAAAAAAAAAAGUUCCAAGAUUUCUUGCUAUGGAAUGAGAAAGAGGAAGAGGGAGCGUAGCACUCUGCGUCACAGCACACAAGGCUUUCUGGGGAGAAGGAAGUGCUGGUUCUGAUCCCUGCGCCGAGGACUGCUUAUACACUCUGCUUUAAGUAACAACUGGGUAAAACAUUGAAGUAGUCCCUGGGUGAGAUGUGUGCAAUGGAGGCAACAGAAGCCACAAAGCACCUCGUGUACCAAUUCCACAGAGAUGUAUCAAAUUUCAAGCAGUUAUUGGUCUGAAGUGAUACCAUCUUCUAAUAGCUAGGAAAAGAAAUUAGUGAAUAUUAUGCUACAACAAGUAGAGUUUCUGUUUCGUAUACUUAAUUUAUCACUGAUCUCUUUCAGGAGCAGAAAGUUGAGAGAUGCUCCACAUUUGAAACUCUCCAUUAACUGUGAGAUGAGCUAAGGGAUCAGACACUGUGAAAAUAAUCUCCACUAAUCUCAACAACCUUAUCAUAAGAGAGAAAUAAGGCAUUUAAAGUAUGUUGCUGUGCAAGGAAAACCUGCUUGUUGUUUUUUUCAUUUUCAAAUGAAUACAUUGAAAAGCAUGGCAUAACCAAGACCUGUAUAUAAGGGGGGCCAAACAACAUUCAGCUUAAACUAGCCAUGUUAUGCCACAGCCCUCAGGUCUCUUGAAAAGCUGCUUUGUGAAACUGUGCUAACAAAAAAAGUGUUGUGUUGUUUUUUUUUUAAUUAAUAAUAUCAACAUGACAACCCUGAUAUAUUUCAUAUUUAAUCCAUUCCUUUAUUCCUCGCCUAGUUCCUCUGUUUACUUUUUCAACAUGAAUUGUACGACUUACUCUUGAAAUAGCUUACCUACAUUAUAGAAGCCAACAGAAAGGUACUGAAGGUUUUGCAGAUGGGAAGAUAGUAUUUUUAACUUUUAGUGUCUGGGAAGCCACAGUAUAAGAAAUAGGUAUUUUGGUUGAGUUUUAUACUAAAACCAUCAGCAAGAUAUGUGCUGCUGCUUCCAUUAUAAUUAUCAUUAUCUUGUUUCAAAAUUAAUGCUUCAUAGAUAUUAAUACCUAAAAUGCCAGAAUUUCAUGGUCUCAAACUCAUUUUUCUGUAAAAGAAAUGUAUAUGCCUUAGAUGACUGCUGUAUAUAACUGUUGCAAAAAAAAUUCCCAUUACCUACAAAUAUUUUUUUAAUUAAUUUUUAAUUGCAGCUAUCUUGCAUCCUUUCAGAUCCCCCUAGUCUGCCAGACACAAAAGAGAAUAACACAGCAGAACAACUAAGGUUUGAGGGAGGCACACAGAGUCUUAUCUGCUUACUAUGCCUACAAGGCCAACUAUAACAGAGGAAGAGUCUGGAAUAAGAAAUCUUCAAAUCCUUUCCUCAGCCUUCUAAGCUUCUCAUUGGAGAUUAUGUUAUAUUAUAUAUAGGUUUUAAUAGCAAACCAAAUUACUCCUGCCAUAAAAGAUGUAUCUGAGUAUGAAAACACUCUGGACAUCAAAGAGCAAAUUAAAAUUCUAAGUAGCUUUUGAAUCUCUGAUGGGCACAUCAGUCUUGUUUUCAAGAAAAAAUAAAAGGAGGACUUAGAAGAAUUUUUUUCAUUGACAUAAUGAAAAUCUAAAACACUGGUAUUGAUAUUCUUUAUAUAUAUAAUAUAUAAAUAAAAUAGCUUCUAGUGACAACUGUUAACGUUCCUGACUGGUAAGUUUGCCUCCUUAUAAAAUUAAAUACUCAUUUGUUUAUUUCAAACUGUUUUAAUCCCACGUUUUAAAACAAAGUUCUAAGACUUGAUCAGUGAUCAAUCAACAUUUAACUCUUUGAAAAUACAGAUUCUUACAAUUACACAACACUAAUAAUACUGUUAAUAAUUAUCAGCUUGUUUUCUCUUACAAAAUCCAUUUUACAUUUCAUUACAUCACCUUACAUUUCGUUGAAAAUAUUCCCUGCCCAAGGUUGAAUUUUCUUAAAAUUUUUAGUCCAUGUCUGACCAAGAAGCCCGAGAACAAGAUGAUGAAAAUAUCCAGUAGUUAUUUGUCAACACUAAAAAAAUAUCCCAGUGAUCUUUUUUGAGAAGAUGCUAGACUUUGGGAUAGAUGCUUCAAAUAUGAAUAUCCUUUAAGCUAGACAUAGGCUUUUUGCCAUCUUUGUUAAAAAUCUGUCUACAUUUGCCAGAGUGAUAAGUCUUUGAGAUAUAAAUAUCAUCUGCUAUCCCUGGCAUCAGGGAGUAUGAAGUAAAGCUUUUAAAGUUUGGGUUUGAUCUAACUGCUCUGACAAGAAAACUGCUCCAGAGCCUCCUGCUUUCAUGAUUUCAAAUAAUCUUCCUCUACUUGCCACCUGAAACUUAUUUCUGGUCUUUUGUUUAUUGCAACAAUAGUGUUCAUUUCCUUAAAUACCUUUUUUGCUUUCCUGAUGCAUGCAUAGCCUGCAUUGUACCCCCUCUCAGCCUCUUUUGGUUUUGCUGAGCGAGUCAACUUCUUUUAAUCUCUCCUCAUCUGCCGGUAGUUCUUCUUUGCAAAGUUAAAUAGUUUGAUUUAACUAUUCCUAGGGUCCAGGUGACUACCAAUAUGAUUUUUAUCAGAAUUCUUCUUUUUUUUUUUUUUUUUAAACAAGGCCAUGCUAGAAUUUGUCAACUAAAAUGUCUUCAGUGUAUCAACUAAAUUUCUUCAGAUUGGCACCCACUAAACAAAGCCUCUCAAGACUCUCAGGGGUCUUAGAGCUGCCAGACCAAUACCCCACCACCACAGACUGACCAAGCAAAUUCCACCCUCGCAGCUCUUACCUCCGAUGUCAGGACACCUACCAUCCCCGCCGAGGAGCUGAGCAGGAUCCUUCCAGCUUGGAGAUACGGAGGCAAAACUAAUCUUUCCGUCUAAUAGUUACCUGCAGUGGUUGCAGGCUGAUGGCAGUGCAGGCAAGAGGCAGGGAGAGCAGGGGAGGGCAGGCACCAGACUGGACAGGCAGGAGUCUGUUUUUCUUUUAUGCUCUCCGUGACUCGCUCGGCUGUGCUUGGCCAGCAAGAGGAAGAAGCCAUGCAGUCUGAAUGCAGAGGACAAACACAGGAACCGGCGCGCUGGAGGAAAGGGCUGGAGAAACCCACUGGGACUGACAGCAUGGGGGACAAACACAGACACUGGCAGAGUCUGGGAGCUGCAGCUGAAGAGCCUUCAAGGGAACAGCAGACUCCAUGGAUGAGGACUAGAGGAGAAACGGACCUGCAAGGUAACAGCUGGGACUAGUAACCAUCAGUGCUGGAAAGAGCGAAUCAGGGCAGAGCUAAGGAUCUGACAUGCUGGCAUGAAACCCGUCUUGCCUCAGCAAAAGGCUUUCAACAAGGUGCUCUGAUGAACAAGGAGGGUAGGAACUGUGUGAGAGGAGAAGGUCUCCAAGAACACAGACAAGAGUCAAGGAAGAAGGUAUGCAUGGAAUAUGCAGCCAGCGGCCACAGGGAGACCCAGAAAUCAAAGAUACCGGUUGCACAAGUGCCUCAGAGCAAUGAGAUGACGGACCAGAAGUUUCCUGCUCACUUAGGUGGUGAGCUUCCACUAUAGGUUGUGUUUCCUCAAGGCGAGGUGCUACACGUCUUCUAGCAUGACGAGGACUUGAUCUAAAGCCCUAUAGCAGAAAAAGCAAUCAUCGUGUUUGAGAUCUCCCAGAACAGAGCCAUAUAACACCACAAAAAUCAUACAGGACAUUAACAACAACUUGAGUAAAGUAUUUCCGCCGAAGUCCUUACGGGACAAACCCAGCACUCAGAAUGGCUGGUCCAUAUAAAGAAUCAAACUUCUGCAAGAAACACAGUGUGGGAUUCCUCUGACCAAAGCUCAGCAGACCUCCCCUCCCUGGGCUCCCUUUGGAGCCACCGAAGUCACCGGGUCAGAUGAACCAUCCCCUAACAGCACCUACUGGCCACAGAGGAAGACCAAGCUGACUACUUCACUCAUAGACAUCUAUAUUGUCAGUAUCCAAAAUUAGAUAGGAUGGAUCAGGACCAGGUUUUGGUCUGCCUUCGAUACAGUAUUCAUCUUUCCAUAUAUAUUUUAUGGUCAGAUUUCCUCUUAUUUUCCGUCUUCUACAUGACAUAAUUCCAGAGAGAGAGAGAGAGUUUUACACACCCCAGACAUACUCUUGCUGGAUCCCCAUAAUUCAACACAGCACUCUUACAAAUUUGUCCUACUGAUAUAUAUAAUAAUAUAGCAUGUUUUUCUAUUCUGUUUAAAUAUUUCCCAUCCCGUCUUCUUUUCUGAUCAGGCUAUACAUCUGAAAGAGGUCACGGAAUUGUCAAGAGUAAUUCAAAAGGCCCUUUUGGAAACCAUAAACGUAAAAAUUAAUAAAGUGGAUAAACUCCUUUUCUCUGUAAUACACCCAGCCUUGCAUUUAUGAACAUCAUGUGUGCUCAUUUGCCCCAUUCUUCAGAAUUUCUUCAGUAUGAUCUGGUAUUUGAUAACCAAGUAUGUCAUACUCUGCAAUCCUUGUUAUGUUUUUGCCUAUUCCUAGCUUGUUCGUUAGUAUAAAAAAUAGGAUUUUGAAACUUCCUAAAGAACUUGUCCAAUUUUUGCUUUACAGAUCAUAGAAGCAUGGAAUGGUUUGGGUUGGAAGGGACCUUAAAGAUCACCUAGUUCCAAUCCCCCUGCCAUGGGCAGGGACUUUGGAUAAUGUGUUGAACCUUUUUCUUUCACUGUCUUGGUUUUUCUGUAUUUGUUUUUAAUUCUUUGUCUGAUACUUAAAUAGCACCACACGAAUAAUCAGUGCUAUCCCGUGUGUGCAUUACCACUUUAGUGACGUGAAUCUUUGACUCCUCCAUUCUUUCAAUGUGUGAUUGUAUUAAUUCACCAGAUCCUUUUCCUCUCCAUUCCAGUUGCUACUGUCCCUACGGCCUUCAUCAUACACUAUCUAUUAUUCUUAUGCUUGAUGAGAAACCAUAUUCAUUCUUCAUUUUUCUCAGUGUGUAUUUUAUGUAGAAUACAUUGGGUGUUGGAAUUCUAGUCUUGGAACCCAACCUUUCCAGCCAGUAUGUGUUUUCUGAGUCCCUAAACAUUAACUUCAAGAGAAGUAAGAGUGCGUUAUCUGAUGUCCAGCUGAAGCCAACAGAAAUCUUUGUGUUAACUUCAGUGGACACUAGACAGCAGCCCAGUUUACCUUGUGGCAGGUCUUCAGUAAACUACAGAAGCAGCGCUAGCUAGCAUUAAGCCACAACUCAGCACAACUGGAGGAAUGACAACAGAACUCAACUGUGUUUGCAAAUGCCUUUACGGAUAUUUGAGUGAGUCCCGUAGACUAAAUGCAUAUUUGCAGCUGCACUAAUGAAUAUCAAAGCCAAAGGAAGCUCAGACAGGCUAUCCAACUUCGUGUACUUGCUUCUAAGGUUUUUGACAAUGGCUGUGUAUGCAUGAGAAUUGUCAUCUAUUACCACUGUCAAUUAACGGCCUCACGAAACAGUCUUUGAAGUGUCAGUUACUGCUUGUUUAAAGCUUGGAAACUUUCAUGUAUAUGCAACCUACAACAACUUAGGGCCUGGCGACAUUAGUAUGCGUAGUAUCAAAACCGAUCUCAAGAUGCUGGAGUUCUCAGCUGUUUUGCAGACAGGCUGAAAUAGAAUUAAACCCUAUAGCUGAAGUACCUACUUGAACUAAAAAGGCACAUUUAAUUAAAUAACUUCAUUGUAUCAAAUUCUUCUGCAUGCUGAAGAGAGAAAUUUGAGAAUCUUUCUGCUGCGCAUACAAACUUCUAUAUGCAUUUUAAGAACUGUUUUAAAUUAAAAAGUGACCAAGAUUGCAUUAUUUCCCUUCUCCUUCUCCCAUAGUGACUUCCAUCCCAAAUAUCCUCAGUUUACAAAGAAACAAUAACACCUCCACAGCAUUUAACUGCCAGUUCUGGAAGUUCAGCCCAAAAUAAAAGAUUCAAGUUAAGUCUUCCAAACUACUUAUACAUCCUCUCUAAUAUUAAUGAUUGCUAACUAAAGCUAGGUCUUCGUUUUCUGUGGCAGGAAAAUUACCUGCAUUCACUCAGUCUAUUACUUCGCAAACACACAAGGAGGAUGCAACUGCAUUUGCUAUUUCUUGGUUCUAUCAGGUCUCAAAAAAGUAGGCUGCAACCUUUUUUUGGGGUUUUUUUGUGUGGUUCUCUUGAUUAUUUUUUUUUAAUCUUAGCUAAGGUUACUCCUAUAAAGAUCUGAAUCAAGAUUUAAAACAUCAAAUGUAAGAUUUCACAUUCAAUUUCUCAUUCCACUCACUCAUUAACAAGCUUUCACUGAUGCUUCUUUGCAUGUCUUAAGUUUAUUUUAGGAGACAUUAUUCUUAUCUUCUAAAACUUAAACUCUAAGCAGUGCUGGAACCAUUUCUCAGAUAUUGAAGACUGUGAUUUGGCAUGUGUCAUAUUCCAAGAUAAGUCCACACAUUCAAAGGGAUUAAAAGCAAUUGUUUUUUAUAGAACCUGAACAAGAUUACUUUCCCAACCAAGUUCGUGAAAGUUCAUCAAUAACCUGCUUUCCAGGUCCUAAGCAGGCCCUUAAGUGUAUACAUACAAGUUCUUGUGUGAACCUAGGGUUUAGAUGUGAAUUCAGAAUACAGUUUUUGAUAACCCAGGCUGCAUUAAACUGCUGUUUUAAACAAUGUGUGUUUUUUCCUAUCACAAGGUUAGGGUUCCCAUCAACGCAGGUAAGCCCUAACACUAGGAAAAUCUGAUGAUGUGUAAGCAAAUAGCCAAGGAGCCCAAGUUACGCCUCAAGAUACCCUUUCAAUAGUCUUUCCUGUCUAAACCUAUAAACCACAGAAGCCAGCCUGUUCUCCAGGCAGUCCUAUCAUUCUUGGACAAGGCGGCUUGCAGCCCUCCACAGCUGCCUUGCCAGUUCCUUCCCUGUUACCUCAAGGCACCGCAAGCCUACAGUAGGAAUGAAACAAUUACUUAAGAACAAAAAUAAAUCAGAGUACUGCUUGAUCAGUGGUCUGUAAGAGAAAGUUUAAUUUAGAAUAUACUAGCACAUUUCCCAAGCAUGUCCCUCUUCCACCCCUGCUUCCUCUGUUUUCCAUCUCAUCACUUCUCAGCUUGGGCAGUGUACAGUAUACAUCAAGAAUCUGCUGUAAGGAAUUAACUUUCAAUAUUAAAAAUAAAGUAAGAAGAAGAAUAAGAAAUAACAUACAACUUGCUAACCCAUGCAAGUGCUGCCCAACAUCUAGUACAAAGAAAUUACUCUCUGUCCAGGGUGCUUGUCUGAAGCGUAAACUGGUAAGAGAAUUUAUGCCACCACAGCAUGUUAAGAUGGGUCUGUACUUUGUCAAGCAUAAAAGAGAUGCAUAACUAAUGAGAGACUUAACAGGCAUCUAUUAAAAAUACUUUAAAAAAAGAUACCUGGGGCGGAAUUCAGCUAUCUAUUAAGAUACCUACGCUCAGAUACCAGCAACAUAUCUGAAUGAGUCUGUCCUUCAGGGGCAACUAGUCUAAGCUCCUGUUAUAGCCAAUGAAAAAUUUAGUCGAUAGGCUCAGUGAGGCUUGAAGAACCAUUCAGUUCAUCCUGAAGCAGACACCUACACUAGGUCAGCUGAGUAGCUCUACAGACUAUAAACUGUAAAUGCCUACAGUGAGUUUAUUGUGCUGUAUAAGAGGAUACUGGUUUUGCAAAGUCACUUUCCAACUCCGGCUGCACUUUACGUGCAGGAAGGUAGUGGCAGCAGAUCAGAAGGGAAUGAUGCCUCGACCUAGUUGCAUCAUUUCGUUCUCUCUAGAACAAAGGAGGAGGAUAAAUAAAAUACCUCAGUCUGACAUGAUUACAUAUUUCAGUAUAGUUAGUGCUAUCAAUUUAGAUAAUCACAAAUUAAGUCUUGUAAAACUGUGUUUCACUUCCAGUCUGCUCUGCUAUUUACCCUGCCAUCCUAAAGCCGAGUGCUGUAUUUAAGCAGCUGAGUGGACAGGGGCGAUAAGGACAUUGGCACAACUUGCAAGAAAUGUGUCUUUGCCCAGAUGCCAACUGCAGUUAGUUUCCAUAGCUGAUGAAGUGCUUCAGCCAUAACUCAUGUUUCGUUCCCUCUGAUGAGUCAGGAACAGCAAACCACUGACUCUCCUCGAUGCAGGGCAGUAGGGAACAAGGGAGCACGACGAGGGCUCAAACGCUUUGGAUGGCAGAAGUAUCCAGAUAACAGGUACCCAGGCUCACAGGUGAACCAGAAGCACAAAGAAAUCGGCUCAAAAACAAGCCAGCUUUGCUAGCGCUACAUCAAGAUCAGCCACAGGUCUGAUGACCUGGCUCAGCCAUCUCCUUCACACAGUGCCAAGUCCUUGCCCAGGGCAGCUGGAGGGGCUGAGGCACCCUCCCCAGAGCCAGAGACGCCUCCAUGCCGCAGGGAUGGCAUCCGCUCAUGUUUCACAGGGCCAGGCCCAACAAGCCCAGCUCAGCCGAAUCAGAUCCCACAUGAAAACAGCAAGGUGACUUCACCCUGUGCUCUGCGUAGUUUCUUCCGUAGCACACCAAAGGCACCUCUCCUUAAAAAGCCUGGGAGUGGAAGACAGCGUGAGUCUCUUCCAUGCCCUAGGAAAACACAUGUGGCAGCCCAGGAACAGAAGCAGCCCCAAGGGCCAUACCACCCUGUCCAUAUUGUGCUUUCUUUCAUAUAGUACCCUCAGCCUAAAGUGCUGAGCUGUUUCUGAAGGGACACCCACAACCUGAUCUGUCACCCUCAUAACCUAACCACAGUAACUGAGAAAUCAGUGUAGAUGGUUAGAGCUGUACAUGAUGUAUGGACCCCUACAUGAUCCUUUCCAUCUGUGUAAGAACAGUUCCUACAGCAGAUGUGGCAAUACAUGUGCUCACCACAAGUACGACCUCAGCUAUUUUAAUUCACAGUUUCAAUCUGAGGUUAGUUUCAGCCAAAAAACAGUAGCUAGAAGUUCACAUUCUGUACAUGUGUACAAUGUGGCUGCUAACAGAAAGGUGGUGACAAGCCGUGCUCCACCUUGAUCCCCUUGAAACCAGGGCUCUGCUUGCUUGCAAACUGCUGCUUGUGUGCACCAGACAUGUGCACUGUAACUGGCAUACAACAGUUACAACCUCAUCCAAAACACACACUUCCCGAGAUAACAGUAGUUACUGACAAGCCAGAGUAUGUAAAUACUUACAUAAAUAUGUAAAUACGAUAGCUAGGAUGUUGUGGACAUCAUUGUAUUAAUGGGAAACUAAAUAGUAAGAUGACCUUUUAUUACGUGCAGGAUCUUUGUGCAGUGGUUGUCCCUAUCUUGUUAGAGAGCUGUGAGGAUGUGUUCAUUUAUAAUGCAGGUCCCGAUAUAUAGUGUAUUGAGACCGUGCCAUACCACUGACGUGGACUGUGACACAAUGUCCGUACACUGUCGGGUGACUAAGAGAGCUAAGAAGAGAUCCCCUCAGCAUUUCACUUCUCUGCAGACUGUUGGAAGCCAGAAUAGAGAUGCAGGCAACCAGAUGGCUAUAGAAACAUAUCAGGCAUUUCUACACUACACUGUAGCAGAGAGUAAAGGUACCCGGGUUAACUCCUCUGGAGUUAGCUCAGGAAUCGAAGUGGUCUUGCUGCAGCAGCCAGGGAAUUGCCGUGUUUUGUAAUACAAUUGCCAAACAGGCUGUUUCUCAGCAUAGACCGAUGCUUGCUAGCCUAUCUAAAGGCAGCACUGCAGUGAAUAAAGCUGACAAACAAUGAUGGACAGAUGACGUAUAGUAAGCAGAAUCUCAGUGGUUCCUAG